rnacentral:rRNA from 1 species
ACGAACGCUGGCGGCGUGCUUAACACAUGCAAGUCGAGCGGUAAGGCCCUUUCGGGGGUACACGAGCGGCGAACGGGUGAGUAACACGUGGGUGACCUGCCCUCAGCUCUGGGAUAAGCCUGGGAAACCGGGUCUAAUACUGGAUAUGACUCCAUGACGCAUGUUGUGGGGUGGAAAGCCUUGUGCGGCUGAGGAUGGGCCCGCGGCCUAUCAGCUUGUUGGUGGGGUGAUGGCCUACCAAGGCGACGACGGGUAGCCGGCCUGAGAGGGCGACCGGCCACACUGGGACUGAGACACGGCCCAGACUCCUACGGGAGGCAGCAGUGGGGAAUCUUGCGCAAUGGGCGAAAGCCUGACGCA